UUAGCUGAGAGAUGAUUAGCCUGGUGAGAGAAGCUUGUCUAGAAACCCCUUGCCCCUGUCAGCCUUGCUGAGGGAAGGUAGACCUGAUGUGGAACUACAGUUGACAGCUACCUCAGACUUGCUGCUUGCUAGAGUCUCCCUGAAGGAAGGCAGGCCAGGUGUGAGACUAUUGUUUGCUAUCUGUGCCUUGCUUGUGGCUAGCUGUCUAGAAGGAGGGGGAAAAAUGCUUAUUCCUCUACAGAUGCUUUCAGAGUGUUUGUUUACUCUGACUGACAUCAGGAAAUGUCUCCUUGUGUUGUGAUGCCAAGGGAUGCACUGAAAUGAGAAGGGAUGAAAAAGGAUGCAGUUGUACAAAUCUUUUCUCAGGAGAAGCAAAAGUAGCACACACAUUAAAUAUAAAGAACAUUAGGGGUCCGACUGAAAUGUGUUAAGCAUCCACCUAUAGAAGGGCCCUAUGACUUCAGCUUUCAGAAGUUUCCCACCAUUCCAAGUGGUGGGGCUACCUUCAUCAAGUUAAAUGAACGUGGGUUUUUUAGCAGAUGGGAUGUGGGGGAGGAUUCAAGACUUCAGCAUGGAUGGCCUUGUCUUCAGUCCCUUUCACUACAGACUUCCAGGAUGUGUUCAUUGAUAGCUAAGUGAAGACUCUCUGUGGGAAGUAAUGACCGUUGCCUACUUCAAAGUUUGGCUUUUAUUUGCCCCCUCCCCAUGAUUCUACUUGUGAUAAACCCAUUAAGGAACCAUGUAUGAGGUUGAUCCAAAGUCCAUUGAUGUCUCUGGAAAGACUCUCCUAAUAUGAGCUGAUGCAAUUAAAGAUUGUAUUAGAAAGCAUGUACACAAAGGGACAAUUUAAAUGGUGCAUAUAGUCUUAACAUGGCACUUCCUUACUUUUGAUUGCUUCACUGUAUGCCAAUGU